UAAAGCGUGCGCAGGCGGUUUUGUAAGACUGUCGUGAAAUCCCCGGGCUCAACCUGGGAAUGGCGAUGGUGACUGCAAGGCUAGAGUUUGGCAGAGGGGGGUAGAAUUCCACGUGUAGCAGUGAAAUGCGUAGAUAUGUGGAGGAACACCGAUGGCGAAGGCAGCCCCCUGGGUCAAAACUGACGCUCAUGCACGAAAGCGUGGGGAGCAAACAGGAUUAAUACCCUUGU
rnacentral:rRNA from 1 species